rnacentral:snRNA from 1 species
CUGCGUACCUGUCAGAGGAGAUAUCAUGAUCAAGAAGAUGGUUCACCCAGGACGAGUCCCAGCUGAUCCCUGUGAAUUUCCCAACUGUGGGAACAAGCUAGCGCUAAGCUAUGC